UGGAGUUAACACCCAAAGUGC
rnacentral:piRNA from 1 species